CUUACUUUGGUUUUCGUCAAUCUUAUUGAGAGGAUGUGGAUAAGGAAUACGUAACCCACAGCAUUGCCGUGAGAUGACGUAACUCCAGCGCUGAGCUUAGGCCACUGCCUGGCCUGUUGAAGUGUUCACCCAGCCUUAGCUUGCAGGAAAUGCUGCCUUUGGAGCCAACAACUAUGGAUGUGUUGUCCAGAGGAAACCUGUGGAUCAAGCAAGGAUGCCUACAAAAAGACUAAUUUCCCAGUAAUCCAACUUAUUCCAAACACUCCACCCACAAGGCAGCAAGUGAGGGAAAAAAUAGAAUUCUGCUUGAAGAUGCUUUUCAGUCAACUCUCUCUAGCUCAUAAACCAGCGCUUCUCCAAGAGUGUUAUGAACCCUGCACCCUCCUUGUCAAUGCUGAUUUCUGCACCCAUCUCCCAGUUACCAUCUGGAAUAGAAUCCAGUAG
rnacentral:lncRNA from 1 species